AAUCGAUUGAAGGGAUCUGGAAUGGAAGUGGGAAGGAAGGAGGCUGGAGCAGUGGUCCAGGUAAAGCUGACAGAGUCAGGACUAAGGUGCGGAUGCCGCUGAUGCAGAUGUGUGUGAUUUCAAGGUAUAAUGACAGACUUGGCUGCAUAUGAGAAGUGAGGGAAAGACAGGAAUCAAGGAGAACUCCAGGUUCCUGGCUCUCUGACCAGAUGGGGCUCAGUGCGGUCACCCAGAAGGAGAACAGAUUUGGGGAGCAGGAGAUGCAGAGUUCCUUUUAGAACAUGAUUCAUUUGAGAUGCCAGGGAGAGAGCUGCAUGAAACGAUGAAAUAAGUCUCCAGAGAAAUGAGCCUGGAGCUUGGGGAAGAGGUUUGAGGUAGAGAUAAAAUGGUAUGAGUCUUUCAAUAUCUAAAUGGCGUUUAAAGCCACAGAACCCCGUGAACGAAUGCUAAUCAAGGAGAGAACGCGGGUGGAAAAGCAAGGAGCUGAAUUCUGCCACCAACUAGUGAGCUUGAAAGAGGAACUUGAGCCUCGGAGGAAAUCACAGCUUUGGCCUACAUCUUGCUUUCAGCCUGAGCCCAAGUCACCACCUUCAGGUUCUAUUAUACAUGUGACAUCGUCUGGCUCCGGACAGAGCAGUGUCUGAAACACACCUUCGCUAGGAGGUAUGGAACAAACAAAAGAAGACAAUUACCAAGUGGGAUAGUGAAUAAAAGAUACAGGAAGUCUACAGAAAGACACAGGAAGAGGAGGCCACACCUAAAUGCUGGCAAGGGAGCAGGCAACAGGGUCAGACGCCAAGCCUCAGACCCCUCCUGGAUACGAACCAUCCCCUGCCUCAUCAGAGCCUGGGAAGAUUUCCUACUCGUGAGGCUAACGAAUCGCUCAGAACACAACCAUCUCAUUAAGCAAUUAGCUCUGGGAGCGCCAAGGCAAGGAAGUGACCUCACUGGCCGCUCGACAAGACACCGCCCUGCCGCUGGGGAGGAAGGUAACAGGGUAAUCAUGACCAUGGUGGGAGGGACAUUGAUGGUGAUGUCAAGUGACGGAAAAGGUGACGGGUGUCAGAUCUCUGUGAUGGUGGAGGAGAUGCUGGGGCUGGGAACUGACUUGAUGGUGGUGCAGGGGAUGGUUGAUGGUGGUGGCAGAUCACAGCGGUGAUGGCAAGGUGACAUUGGUAGUGAUGACUGACAGGGUAGACCCUGUGGCUGGGCUCCCUCAGCCUCCAUCCCAUCCUCCUCAAUGACAGGGAAGUUGGAAAGUUAGCAACGACAUAGCCCUCCCUUGUGGCGUUUACAUGUGGAUUCACUGGGGCAGAAUCUGGAUGGCAGAAGCGAGGCGGAGUCCUUUCCAAGCUUUGGUUUUCUAAUUUCUAAUAAUAGUAGAGCACUGCUGGAGUUCCUGUUGUGGUGCAGCGGAAACGAAUCCGACU